CUGUGCCCUCCGAGUCGAGCUUCUGCCCUCUACGUGCCGAUAGCAAUCCCUGUAAUGCGGCUCCUGGGAGUCUCUCAAUCCUGUUAGUCCAGAGCCUUUUCACUUCUCCGGCCCCUCAAUGCGUCUCUCUGACCCCGUUAUUGAGGGGGUACUGAAAGUGCUGCCUCCCAGCCCGCCGCCAUGUUGGAUCCUCUUCUUGCUGAUUUCUAACAGUGAUGUAUUUAAGACAAUUGAUCUCUGAGAAUAAUUCACCUAAUGCAUUAAUAUCUGAUCUCACUGAAGUUGGAAAUCAAAAUCUUGCAUUUUCUCUCAGAGGUUGUUCAAAAUGAUGACUUAUUAAACAUACCAUGAACAUAAAAUAUUAGAAUCCAAAUAAAAGUGCUUAAGUCAUGCUUAUGGGCCAAAGUUAAUAUAUUUCACAAUUUUAAACCCCUAUUCACUGAACAUGUGUGCACUUUUAUGGUGCUUUCAUUAAUGUGUUUAUUGAUGCUAAGUCUAUCACAAAACUGCAUUAUGCUUCCAAACCUUAGGGAUAUGAGGAAAUAUCUUUUCAGAUUUUGAUUCUCACCUAAGAGCCUUAGACAAACUACUCAAUAAGAAUCUUCCACCAGGAGCUGGGGUUGUGGUUCAGUGGUAGAGCACUUGCCUACCAUGUAUGAGGCACUGGCUUCAAUUCUCAGCACCACAUAUAAAUAAAUGAAUAAAAUAAAAGGUCCAUCAACAACUAAAAAGAAAAUUAAAAGAAAAGAAUCUUGCAUCAGUCAAAAAGAGAUGACAAUGAAGUGGGGAAAAUAUGUAAAAUGAUAAAAUGUCCAAGCCCUAUCUCCUUUCCUGAAAAUCUGUGGUGUCAUAAGUUUCAGUUGUAUAACAUGAACAAGGGCUAGAGGUCUGCUCUUGCUGUACAACAUACUGCCUAGGUUAACAUCUAUGUGUAGAAUAUUCGCUGUUAAGGGUUAUUAACUUUAAAAAAUAAAAAUAAAGGGACACAGGAAACUUUUGCAAAUAAUGGGCUUGUAUAUUACUUUGUGGAAUAUCUUCUUAUGAACUGAGGGUAAAAGAGAAAGUUGUUCAAUUUGUAUAUUUUUUGUUGUUGUUUAUCUAAAAGAUGGAAGUGUUAAAUUUUCAUCUGUUUUUGGCCAUAAUUAAAUAUAAGAGUGAUAUGCACAGAAUCUUACCAGUACUGAACGUAAAGCCUAAAAUGAUAUGAAAAAAAAUAAGAAUUUGAGUAAAUUCUAAGUUCCAAAGUUUAACACUAUUGCCAUUGGAACAUGACCAAAUUUUUUUUAAUUGUGUUGGUUUUCCUUAGAUAUACAUGACAGUAGAA
rnacentral:lncRNA from 1 species